rnacentral:rRNA from 1 species
UACGUAGGUGGCAAGCGUUGUCCGGAAUUAUUGGGCGUAAAGCGCGCGCAGGCGGCCAGACAGGUCAGCUGUGAAAACUCGAGGCUCAACCUCGAGACGUCGGUUGAAACCGUCUGGCUAGAGUCCGGAAGAGGAGAGUGGAAUUCCCGGUGUAGCGGUGAAAUGCGCAGAUAUCGGGAAGAACACCCGUGGCGAAGGCGGCUCUCUGGGACGGUACUGACGCUGAGACGCGAAAGCGUGGGGAGCGAACAGG